rnacentral:rRNA from 1 species
GAUGAACGCUGGCGGCGUGCCUAAUACAUGCAAGUCGAGCGAACAGACGAGGAGCUUGCUCCUCUGACGUUAGCGGCGGACGGGUGAGUAACACGUGGAUAACCUACCUAUAAGACUGGGAUAACUUCGGGAAACCGGAGCUAAUACCGGAUAAUAUAUUGAACCGCAUGGUUCAAUAGUGAAAGACGGUUUUGCUGUCACUUAUAGAUGGAUCCGCGCCGCAUUAGCUAGUUGGUAAGGUAACGGCUUACCAAGGCGACGAUGCGUAGCCGACCUGAGAGGGUGAUCGUCCACACUGGAACUGAGACACGGUCCAGACUCCUACGGGAGGCAGCAGUAGGGAAUCUUCCGCAAUGGGCGAAAGCCUGACGGAGCAACGCCGCGUGAGUGAUGAAGGUCUUCGGAUCGUAAAACCCUGUUAUUAGGGAAGAACAAAUGUGUAAGUAACUAUGCACGUCUUGACGGUACCUAAUCAGAAAGCCACGGCUAACUACGUG